rnacentral:rRNA from 1 species
CCAGAGCCUGAAUCAGCAUGUGUGUUAGUGGAAGCGUCUGGAAAGUCGCGCGAUACAGGGUGACAGCCCCGUACACAAAAGCGCAUGUGUUGUGAGCUCGAUGAGUAGGGCGGGACACGUGGUAUCCUGUCUGAAUAUGGGGGGACCAUCCUCCAAGGCUAAAUACUCCUGACUGACCGAUAGUGAACCAGUACCGUGAGGGAAAGGCGAAAAGAACCCCGGCGAGGGGAGUGAAAAAGAACCUGAAACCGUGUACGUACAAGCAGUGGGAGCACCCUUCGGGGUGUGACUGCGUACCUUUUGUAUAAUGGGUCAGCGACUUAUAUUCUGUAGCAAGGUUAACCGAAUAGGGGAGCCGGAGGGAAACCGAGUCUUAAUUGGGCGUUAAGUUGCAGGGUAUAGACCCGAAACCCGGUGAUCUAGCCAUGGGCAGGUUGAAGGUUGGGUAACACUAACUGGAGGACCGAACCGACUAAUGUUGAAAAAUUAGCGGAUGACCUGUGGCUGGGGGUGAAAGGCCAAUCAAACCGGGAGAUAGCUGGUUCUCCCCGAAAGCUAUUUAGGUAGCGCCUCGUGAAUUCAUCUCCGGGGGUAGAGCACUGUUUCGGCUAGGGGGCCAUCCCGGCUUACCAACCCGAUGCAAACUGCGAAUACCGGAGAAUGUUAUCACGGGAGACACACGGCGGGUGCUAACGUCCGUCGUGAAGAGGGAAACAACCCAGACCGCCAGCUAAGGUCCCAAAGUCAUGGUUAAGUGGGAAACGAUGUGGGAAGGCCCAGACAGCCAGGAUGUUGGCUUAGAAGCAGCCAUCAUUUAAAGAAAGCGUAAUAGCUCACUGGUCGAGUCGGCCUGCGCGGAAGAUGUAACGGGGCUAAACCAUGCACCGAAGCUGCGGCAGCGACACUGUGUGUUGUUGGGUAGGGGAGCGUUCUGUAAGCCUGUGAAGGUGUGUCGUGAGGCAUGCUGGAGGUAUCAGAAGUGCGAAUGCUGACAUAAGUAACGAUAAAGCGGGUGAAAAGCCCGCUCGCCGGAAGACCAAGGGUUCCUGUCCAACGUUAAUCGGGGCAGGGUGAGUCGACCCCUAAGGCGAGGCCGAAAGGCGUAGUCGAUGGGAAACGGGUUAAUAUUCCCGUACUUGGUGUUACUGCGAAGGGGGGACGGAGAAGGCUAUGUUGGCCGGGCGACGGUUGUCCCGGUUUAAGCGUGUAGGUGUGUGUUCCAGGUAAAUCCGGUUCACUUUAACACUGAGGCGUGACGACGAGGCACUACGGUGCUGAAGCAACAAAUGCCCUGCUUCCAGGAAAAGCCUCUAAGCAUCAGGUAACAUCAAAUCGUACCCCAAACCGACACAGGUGGUCAGGUAGAGAAUACCAAGGCGCUUGAGAGAACUCGGGUGAAGGAACUAGGCAAAAUGGUGCCGUAACUUCGGGAGAAGGCACGCUGACACGUAGGUGAAGUGAUUUACUCAUGGAGCUGAAGUCAGUCGAAGAUACCAGCUGGCUGCAACUGUUUAUUAAAAACACAGCACUGUGCAAACACGAAAGUGGACGUAUACGGUGUGACGCCUGCCCGGUGCCGGAAGGUUAAUUGAUGGGGUCAGCGCAAGCGAAGCUCCUGAUCGAAGCCCCGGUAAACGGCGGCCGUAACUAUAACGGUCCUAAGGUAGCGAAAUUCCUUGUCGGGUAAGUUCCGACCUGCACGAAUGGCGUAAUGAUGGCCAGGCUGUCUCCACCCGAGACUCAGUGAAAUUGAACUCGCUGUGAAGAUGCAGUGUACCCGCGGCAAGACGGAAAGACCCCGUGAACCUUUACUAUAGCUUGACACUGAACAUUGAGCCUUGAUGUGUAGGAUAGGUGGGAGGCUUUGAAGCGUGGACGCCAGUCUGCGUGGAGCCGACCUUGAAAUACCACCCUUUAAUGUUUGAUGUUCUAACGUGGACCCGUGAUCCGGGUUGCGGACAGUGUCUGGUGGGUAGUUUGACUGGGGCGGUCUCCUCCUAAAGAGUAACGGAGGAGCACGAAGGUUGGCUAAUCCUGGUCGGACAUCAGGAGGUUAGUGCAAUGGCAUAAGCCAGCUUGACUGCGAGCGUGACGGCGCGAGCAGGUGCGAAAGCAGGUCAUAGUGAUCCGGUGGUUCUGAAUGGAAGGGCCAUCGCUCAACGGAUAAAAGGUACUCCGGGGAUAACAGGCUGAUACCGCCCAAGAGUUCAUAUCGACGGCGGUGUUUGGCACCUCGAUGUCGGCUCAUCACAUCCUGGGGCUGAAGUAGGUCCCAAGGGUAUGGCUGUUCGCCAUUUAAAGUGGUACGCGAGCUGGGUUUAGAACGUCGUGAGACAGUUCGGUCCCUAUCUGCCGUGGGCGCUGGAGAACUGAGGGGGGCUGCUCCUAGUACGAGAGGACCGGAGUGGACGCAUCACUGGUGUUCGGGUUGUCAUGCCAAUGGCACUGCCCGGUAGCUAAAUGCGGAAGAGAUAAGUGCUGAAAGCAUCUAAGCACGAAACUUGCCCCGA